AGAAUUUUCACUUUUGUUUGUAAUUAAUAUGUGAGGGUUUCACAUCCACACAGUUCCAGAAAUUAGCCUAUUCCUAUAAUACUAAAAAUUUGAAAUUUACAGAUCUGGGAGAGGCUGCAGAUGUACUAGGAAACCCUUAAUUCAGAGGUAAGUGUGCACACAUACAUGUAUGUAGUAGGAAAAACAUGUUGAAAGAGGUAAGGCCGACG
rnacentral:lncRNA from 1 species